rnacentral:rRNA from 1 species
GACGAACGCUGGCGGCGUGCUUAACACAUGCAAGUCGAACGGAAGGGCCCUGCUUUUGUGGGGUGCUCGAGUGGCGAACGGGUGAGUAACACGUGAGUAACCUGCCCUUGACUUUGGGAUAACUUCAGGAAACUGGGGCUAAUACCGGAUAGGAGCUCCUGCUGCAUGGUGGGGGUUGGAAAGUUUCGGCGGUUGGGGAUGGACUUGCGGCUUAUCAGCUUGUUGGUGGGGUAGUGGCUUACCAAGGCUUUGACGGGUAGCCGGCCUGAGAGGGUGACCGGCCACAUUGGGACUGAGAUACGGCCCAGACUCCUACGGGAGGCAGCAGUGGGGAAUAUUGCACAAUGGGCGGAAGCCUGAUGCAGCAACGCCGCGUGCGGGAUGACGGCCUUCGGGUUGUAAACCGCUUUCGCCUGUGACGAAGCGUGAGUGACGGUAAUGGGUAAAGAAGCACCGGCCAACUACGUG